AAGCAGAUUGCUACAGAAUUCUUGAUCUAAUUGUAAAAAAGAUUAACAAAAGAAGCCCCAGCUUAAGGGGCCUGCUUCUCCUCCCCAAUAAACCUCAUUUUCUUUGAGCAUUAGGUUGAGAGUCCAUCAGACAGCAACAGUAGCAACUCCAUGAUCAUCCAUGAUCAUUGACCCUACCAGCUGCUCCUUACAGAAGAUUUCACUGAACCCACGCCUCCAUUUUCUUCCAGUGAAUCUACUGGUUCAGCUCAUUGAAAAGACCGUAAAAACAAGAAAAUACUUUGAAGGAGAGAAACUAUUCGAUAUCAUCUCAGGGGAAAUCUUGGGCAGUUCAAAUUUCUCUGAAAACCUUACCUGUCAAUGAGCAAGUCUCCCACAGAAUCUUACACGAUCACCUAAAUAAUGGCAUCUAUGAAGUAGAAUGAUCUAUUUAUAAAUGAAUUGCAUUUCCAGUAUCAUUACUGGCAACAUAUUCCUUAACAACUGCUAUGGAGACAGAAAGUAUCAAAAUAUACAGCGGAAAUUUGAACCCCAUCAAGCCAGCGGCCUGACAAAGGUUAGCAGGAUAACGAAACAUUCAGCUCUGCUUCUUUUCUUACGUUUGUCUCAUCUCCAUGCACAGCAGGAAAUGUCUCCUUUUUGCCCCCUCCUUCAUAUUCUAAAAAAGGAUGUACUGCUUUGUUUUAAAAUUGAAGCCAAAGUAACCAAUGUUUCCCUGUUUUUGAAAGCAUUUCCUUCAUUCUGAUGUACUUUAGUCAUAAUGUUGAAAAGAACUUUUGUAGAGUCAAUGAAAGUUCUGAUGCCAAUAGCAAUGUUCUAUUCUUUUUUGCUCCCUAAGUUCCCAAGGACUGAUAUAUAUAAAUGCUAUAGAACCUUACACGUGGAUUUUAUCCCCCAUUCCAUCAAACAAAAUUAAUCAUCUUGUUUAUUUACAUUUUUGUAGUGAGAGUGAAGUAGACAUUUCAUGCCAUAGAAUGUGGCUGUCAUGUUGGCCCAGCUGAGCUCACAACACAAAUAAAUUUCACACUCUUGGAGAUAAGAUGCUUCACAUAUUCAUGGACUCUCCCUGAAUCUUGGAAAGUCUUCAGGCAAAACGGCAAAGCUAUAGUCCAAGUUGAGGCAGAGCCUCAUUUCUGCCAACAAUAUCAUGCCUGGCCAGGCCUGAAAAGUUUUGCCAAGACCACACAGAUAGACUCGAUGGUAAGUUGGAGCUAUAAUUCUUUCUGCAACUGGAAGCCAUUCUGAACUCUUGCCUAAAGUUGGAGACAGUGAAGAGGGGCCAAAACCAGAAACCAUUAAAGCUUAGAAAUAAUUAUUAUGAAAAACCAACAAGCAUUUACCUAAUGAUUCCCCAGAGCCACUCCUAGAAGAAGGAAUGAAAAGGAAAAGUUUACACCACCCACAACACAAAGAUUCAAUGCAGUCAAUGAACCAAAGAAGAAAAACCCAGUUCUGAAAUUUUAUUUUAUUUUUUUCAGUUCUGAAAUUUUAUAACAUGGUACUCCUCCCUUCAAAUUUCUGAUUAGUUGGCCACACUGUUAUAAUGUAGUCAAACAUAUAAUUGGUUUUAUGCAUGUAUCCUUAAAAUAUCAACACCAAUUAAAAUCACCACACUGAGAAACAUUG